UCUUUUUCCCCAAGUGUGUCGACCCUGCUCUAGAUUAUAUCUCAGAUUCCUCGGGUAAGUAUACCUGAGCUGGGAUUUCUCCAAAGCUCCCGAGUUGUGUCCAACCUGAUCUGGUAUAUUUCCCUCAUCCCCUAGGGUGCGUAUACUCUGACGGUGGGUGUCUCCCAGUUCUCCAGGGGGGCCUACACUGACCUUGAGUGUCUCCCCAACUCCCUAGGUCUGACUGCCCUGAUGUUGCAAGUCUGCCAAUUUUCCCAUGGGUCUACACUGAUCAAGGAAUUCCCCUGAAUCUCCAGGUAAUCUACCUUGACCAAAGUUGUGUCCACAAUGACCUGAGAUGUCUCCCUAUUUCUCCAGAGAUAAAGGGACCAAGAGAGAAUACCAUGAACAGCUACACACCAACAGAUACGCUACAUGAAGUGGACAAAUUUCUAGAACACGCAAACCACAACUGACUCCAGAGGAAAUAGAAAAUCUGAUGAGACCAACAAGGGAAGAGAUUGACUCAGUGAUGAAUACCUCUGAGAAAAGAAAAGCUCAGGACCAGAUGGCUUCACCAGUGAAUACACCACAUUUUUAAAAAGUGGUUUCAGUGCCCACCGACCUGCUUCACAGAUGACCCCAGCAGCUUUCACCAGCUUUGACACACGGGUAUUCGCAUUUCUGACAUGACCUGCCUGAGUCUUUUACCAUUUCCUCCCCCUCCCUCCAAUCAAAGCCCAGGAAGAGCAUGAGAAGCCAUCCCAGGCCUCUGUGGCUGAGCAGCGCAAGACACCAGCCUAACCCCCGUGGCUGGUGCGCACUGCUCUGUGGGCACCCUGCCAGCCUGAGGCCCUUCACUGGCCUCCACCGCAGUGUGCAUACCCAGGGGGGGACUGCGCAGCCCUGGGAGAGCAUACUGACAGCCAGGGGCCCCUGCAGCUCCCAGUGUACCCAGAGUAACUCCUGGCACUUGCUGCAUACCUUGGCCCCUAACCACUAGUAUGAGCUUGCACCUGGUCCCUGCCCACCCCCCACUUCUAGCUGUGCCCUACAGCCAAGCUUAUACCACUGGCCCCAGCCAUUACUGCUGCUUGCCCUGGUCCCUAGCUGUUGGACCUGGAGGCACUGCUGAGGGCUUACAGCCCUUACAGCAUCUGGGGACACAUCCCCCAACAACACUCACCAAGAAUCAUGUGGUCUUGAUGCUGUGGACCCCACUGACAUAAGCAAGUGAGUCACCAUGCCAUUCUGGAAUCAGUGCUACCACACUUCAUAUUCGGAAGCUCACAGUACAUUCCAGCGUGCUCCUGUCUGCAAGUGAAGGCCCUUCCUUACUGAAGUCCAUCUGUAAAGUCUGAAACAGUGAUUCAAACAUACAGACACCACAUAAGGCUAGAGGGAUGAUGAAGAAUCAGGGAAACAUGACUCCACCAAAGGAAUACAUUAAACUCGCCCCAAAGAAAUAGAGACCCACAGAUUGCCUGACAAAGAUGCUCAGAGAGCAAGGCACCUGGGUG